rnacentral:rRNA from 1 species
UGCGUAGGCGGUUAGAUAAGUCAGAGGUGAAAGCCCGCAGCUCAACUGUGGAAUUGCCUUUGAUACUGUUUGACUUGAAUCAAGUUGAGGUUGGCGGAAUGUGACAUGUAGCGGUGAAAUGCAUAGAUAUGUCAUAGAACACCAAUUGCGAAGGCAGCUAACUAGACUUGUAUUGACGCUGAGGCACGAAAGCGUGGGGAGCGAACAGGAUUAGAUACCCUGGUAGUC